rnacentral:rRNA from 1 species
AUUGAACGCUGGCGGCAUGCCUUACACAUGCAAGUCGAACGGUAACAGGUCUUCGGACGCUGACGAGUGGCGAACGGGUGAGUAAUACAUCGGAACGUGCCCAGUCGUGGGGGAUAACUACUCGAAAGAGUAGCUAAUACCGCAUACGAUCUGAGGAUGAAAGCGGGGGACCUUCGGGCCUCGCGCGAUGGGAGGGGCCGAUGGCAGAUUAGGUAGGUGGUGGGAUAAAAGCUUACCAAGCCGACGAUCUGUAGCUGGUCUGAGAGGACGACCAGCCACACUGGGACUGAGACACGGCCCCGACUCCUACGGGAGGCAGCAGUGGGGAAUUUUGGACAAUGGGCGAAAGCCUGAUCCAGCAAUGCCGCGUGCAGGAUGAAGGCCUUCGGGUUGUAAACUGCUUUUGUACGGAACGAAAAAGUCUCCUCUAAUACAGGAGGCCCAUGACGGUACCGUAAGAAUAAGCACCGGCUAACUACGUGCCAGCCGCCGCAGUAA